rnacentral:rRNA from 1 species
UACGUAGGGGGCAAGCGUUGUCCGGAAUCAUUGGGCGUAAAGCGCGUGUAGGCGGCUCGGAAAGUCUGGUGUGAAAUCCUGCGGCUCAACCGCAGACUGUCACUGGAAACUGACGAGCUUGAGUCCGGAAGAGGAGUGUGGAAUUCCUGGUGUAGCGGUGGAAUGCGCAGAUAUCAGGAGGAACACCAAUGGCGAAGGCAGCACUCUGGUACGUGACUGACGCUGAGACGCGAAAGCGUGGGGAGCAAACAGG